rnacentral:rRNA from 1 species
CGUGAGUGAUGAAGGCUUUCGGGUCGUAAAGCUCUGUCAAGUGGGAAGAACCUGCAGUAUGCUAAUAUCAUAUUGCACUGACGGUACCACUGAAGGAAGCACCGGCUAACUCCGUGCCAGCAGCCGCGGUAAUACGGGGGGUGCAAGCGUUAUUCGGAAUCAUUGGGCGUAAAGAGCACGUAGGCGGCCUGGUAAGUCAGAUGUGAAAGCCCUGGGCUUAACCCGGGAAGUGCAUUUGAUACUGCCAGGCUUGAGUAUGGGAGAGGGAAGUGGAAUUCCUGGUGUAGAGGUGAAAUUCGUAGAUAUCAGGAGGAACACCGGUGGCGAAGGCGACUUCCUGGACCAAUACUGACGCUGAGGUGCGAAGGCGUGGGUAGCAAACAGGAUUAGAUACCCUGGUAGUCCACGCAGUAAACGUUGUUCACUAGGUGUAGCGGGUAUUGACCCCUGCUGUGCCGCAGUUAACGCAUUAA